UAGAAUUAUUUAUUGGUUGUAGCUGGUCUUCGCAAGAUGACAAUGUGCACACCUUUAUUCAUCAAUCACACCCUGUGCACCUUUUGUAGACUUUGUUGUCUAUGUUUUCACACAAAACUUGAUACAGUGUAGAAUGUUAUUUUUGCGGUCACACGCAAUCAAUA
rnacentral:misc_RNA from 1 species